UUGUGGGGAGCUCUGCAGGCUGGAUGACAUGGUUCCACAGGUCAGAUCUGGCCUGUGGGGUAGGGGUUGAGCAGCCCUGGCUUCAAGUACAAG